GACGUAGGGGACGAGCGUUGUCCGGAUUUAUUGGGCGUAAAGAGCGCGUAGGCGGCUUGGUAAGUCGGAUGUGAAAUCCCGGGGCUCAACCCCGUGACUGCACCCGAAACUGCCCGGCUAGAGGUAGGUAGGGGAGAUCGGAAUUCCUGGUGUAGCGGUGAAAUGCGCAGAUAUGUGGAAGAACACCGGUGGCGAAGGCGGUUUUCUAGCUUAUUCCUGACGCUGAGGCGCGAAAGCAAGGGGAUCAAACAGG
rnacentral:rRNA from 1 species